rnacentral:rRNA from 1 species
CGGAGGGAGCUAGCGUUGUUCGGAAUUACUGGGCGUAAAGCGCGCGUAGGCGGCUUUGUAAGUUAGAGGUGAAAGCCCGGGGCUCAACCCCGGAACUGCCUUUAAGACUGCAUCGCUUGAAUCCGGGAGAGGUGAGUGGAAUUCCGAGUGUAGAGGUGAAAUUCGUAGAUAUUCGGAAGAACACCAGUGGCGAAGGCGGCUCACUGGACCGGUAUUGACGCUGAUGUGCGAAAGCGUGGGGAGCAAACAGGAUUAGAUACCCUGGUAGUCCACGCCGUAAACGAUGAUAACUAGCUGUCGGGGGCCAUGGGCUUUCGGUGGCGCAGCUAACGCAUUAAGUUAUCCGCCUGGGGAGUACGGCCGCAAGGUUA